rnacentral:rRNA from 1 species
GACGAACGCUGGCGGCGUGCUUAACACAUGCAAGUCGAACGGUGAAGCUCCAGCUUGCUGGAGUGGAUCAGUGGCGAACGGGUGAGUAACACGUGAGCAACCUGCCCCUGACUCUGGAAUAAGCGCUGGAAACGGCGUCUAAUACUGGAUACGAGAAGGGUCCGCAUGGGCACUUUCUGGAAAGUUUUUCGGUUGGGGAUGGGCUCGCGGCCUAUCAGCUUGUUGGUGAGGUAAUGGCUCACCAAGGCGACGACGGGUAGCCGGCCUGAGAGGGCGACCGGCCACCCUGGGCCUGAGACACGGACCAGACUCCUACGGGAGGCAGCAGUGGGGAAUAUUGCACAAUGGGCGAAAGCCUGAUGCAGCGACGCCGCGUGAGGGAUGACGGCCUUCGGGUUGUAAACCUCUUUCAGCAGGGAAGAAGCGAAAGUGACGGUACCUGCAGAAGAAGCACCGGCUAACUACGUG